UACGUAGGGACCAAGCGUUGUUCGGAUUUACUGGGCGUAAAGGGCGCGUAGGCGGCAUGACAAGUCACUUGUGAAAUCUCCGGGCUUAACUCGGAACGGCCAAGUGAAACUGUCAUGCUAGAGUGCAGAAGGGGCAAUCGGAAUUCCUGGUGUAGCGGUGAAAUGCGUAGAUAUCAGGAGGAACACCUGUGGUGUAGACAGCUUGCUGGACCAUAACUGACGCUGAGGCACGAAAGCGUGGGUAGCAAACAGG
rnacentral:rRNA from 1 species